rnacentral:rRNA from 1 species
UACGAAGGGUGCAAGCGUUACUCGGAAUUACUGGGCGUAAAGCGUGCGUAGGUGGUUUGUUAAGUCUGAUGUGAAAGCCCUGGGCUCAACCUGGGAAUGGCAUUGGAAACUGGCGAGCUAGAGUGCGGUAGAGGGUAGUGGAAUUCCCGGUGUAGCAGUGAAAUGCGUAGAGAUCGGGAGGAACAUUCGUGGCGAAGGCGGCUACCUGGACCAGCACUGACACUGAGGCAAGAAAGCGUGGGGAGCAAACAGG